rnacentral:rRNA from 1 species
UAUGAUUAGUGGCGGACGGGUGAGUAACAUUUAGGAAUCUGCCUAGUAGUGGGGGAUAGCUCGGGGAAACUCGAAUUAAUACCGCAUACGACCUACGGGUGAAAGGGGGCGCAAGCUCUUGCUAUUAGAUGAGCCUAAAUCAGAUUAGCUAGUUGGUGGGGUAAAGGCCCACCAAGGCGACGAUCUGUAACUGGUCUGAGAGGAUGAUCAGUCACACCGGAACUGAGACACGGUCCGGACUCCUACGGGAGGCAGCAGUGGGGAAUAUUGGACAAUGGGGGCAACCCUGAUCCAGCCAUGCCGCGUGUGUGAAGAAGGCCUUUUGGUUGUAAAGCACUUUAAGCAGGGAGGAGAGGCUAAUGGUUAAUACCCAUUAGAUUAGACGUUACCUGCAGAAUAAGCACCGGCUAACUCUGUGCCAGCAGCCGCGGUAAUACAGAGGGUGCGAGCGUUAAUCGGAAUUACUGGGCGUAAAGCGAGUGUAGGUGGCUCAUUAAGUCACAUGUGAAAUCCCCGGGCUUAACCUGGGAACUGCAUGUGAUACUGGUGGUGCUAGAAUAUGUGAGAGGGAAGUAGAAUUCCAGGUGUAGCGGUGAAAUGCGUAGAGAUCUGGAGGAAUACCGAUGGCGAAGGCAGCUUCCUGGCAUAAUAUUGACACUGAGAUUCGAAAGCGUGGGUAGCAAACAGGAUUAGAUACCCUGGUAGUCCACGCCGUAAACGAUGUCUACUAGCCGUUGGGGUCCUUGAGACUUUAGUGGCGCAGUUAACGCGAUAAGUAGACCGCCUGGGGAGUACGGCCGCAAGGUUAAAACUCAAAUGAAUUGACGGGGGCCCGCACAAGCGGUGGAGCAUGUGGUUUAAUUCGAUGCAACGCGAAGAACCUUACCUGGUCU